GACGAACGCUGGCGGCGUGCUUAACACAUGCAAGUCGAACGGAAAGGCCCUGCUUUUGUGGGGUGCUCGAGUGGCGAACGGGUGAGUAACACGUGAGUAACCUGCCCUUGACUUUGGGAUAACUUCAGGAAACUGGGGCUAAUACCGGAUAGGAGCUCCUGCUGCAUGGUGGGGGUUGGAAAGUUUCGGCGGUUGGGGAUGGACUCGCGGCUUAUCAGCUUGUUGGUGGGGUAGUGGCUUACCAAGGCUUUGACGGGUAGCCGGCCUGAGAGGGUGACCGGCCACAUUGGGACUGAGAUACGGCCCAGACUCCUACGGGAGGCAGCAGUGGGGAAUAUUGCACAAUGGGCGGAAGCCUGAUGCAGCAACGCCGCGCGCGGGAUGACGGCCUUCGGGUUGUAAACCGCUUUCGCCUGUGACGAAGCGUGAGUGACGGUAAUGGGUAAAGAAGCACCGGCUAACUACGUGCCAGCAGCCGCGGUGAUACGUAGGGUGCGAGCGUUGUCCGGAUUUAUUGGGCGUAAAGGGCUCGUAGGUGGUUGAUCGCGUCGGAAGUGUAAUCUUGGGGCUUAACCCUGAGCGUGCUUUCGAUACGGGUUGACUUGAGGAAGGUAGGGGAGAAUGGAAUUCCUGGUGGAGCGGUGGAAUGCGCAGAUAUCAGGAGGAACACCAGUGGCGAAGGCGGUUCUCUGGGCCUUUCCUGACGCUGAGGAGCGAAAGCGUGGGGAGCGAACAGGCUUAGAUACCCUGGUAGUCCACGCUGUAAACGGUGGGUACUAGGUGUGGGGUCCAUUCCACGGGUUCCGUGCCGUAGCUAACGCUUUAAGUACCCCGCCUGGGGAGUACGGCCGCAAGGCUAAAACUCAAAGGAAUUGACGGGGCCCCGCACAAGCGGCGGAGCAUGCGGAUUAAUUCGAUGCAACGCGUAGAACCUUACCUGGGUUUGACAUGGAUCGGGAGUGCUCAGAGAUGGGUGUGCCUCUUUUGGGGUCGGUUCACAGGUGGUGCAUGGCUGUCGUCAGCUCGUGUCGUGAGAUGUUGGGUUAAGUCCCGCAACGAGCGCAACCCUUGUUCACUGUUGCCAGCACGUUAUGGUGGGGACUCAGUGGAGACCGCCGGGGUCAACUCGGAGGAAGGUGGGGAUGACGUCAAGUCAUUAUGCCCCUUAUGUCCAGGGCUUCACGCAUGCUACAAUGGCUGGUACAGAGAGUGGCGAGCCUGUGAGGGUGAGCGAAUCUCGGAAAGUCGGUCUCAGUUCGGAUUGGGGUCUGCAACUCGACCUCAUGAAGUCGGAGUCGCUAGUAAUCGCAGAUCAGCAACGCUGCGGUGAAUACGUUCCCGGGGCU
rnacentral:rRNA from 1 species